rnacentral:lncRNA from 1 species
AAAAGAUUAUGAAAAUGUGCUAAAAUUAUAUCAUUUGUACAAAUAAGUUUUUGGAGGAGCUACAUACUUCUGCAGAGACAACUUUGACAGCAACAAAUGAAGCAUGACUCAUAGCAUAUGUCGAUUUCACUAUUUAAACAACUUUUCAGUUUCACAUAAGAGAAAAAUAUACCAUGAUGGUACUAAAUUGUACAAAACAUAUUACAAGUUGUCCGAUUUCCACAUUUAAGUCGUUGUGUGAGGUAUAUAAUGCAUCGAUAACUACUCUUGAAGAUUGAAAUGAAGGAAAGGCGAGUGGAAUAUGUCGAGAUGCUAUGUAAAUAUGUUUUCAUUUUCACAUGAAGUGAAAAUCUAG